ACCAGGUAUGGUGGUGCAUGCCUGUAAUCCCAGCAAUUCUGGAGGCUGAGGCAGGAGAAUUGCAAGUUCAAGAUCAGGCUAAGCAACGUAGGGAGGCCCUAAGUAACAGUAAGAUCUUGUCUCAA
rnacentral:sRNA from 1 species